UUGCCGUUUGGAUAUAUCCUAGCUGUGUUUGUGCCCUCACUCAUGGUCCAGACUUUUUUCAAAUAGGACAUGUAGUUUGUCUGCAGCGAGUGUUUUGGUAGAAACUGCGCCUCCCAUUCAUUAUAAUGGGAAAUGACCACAGACAAGUGCGCACACCAUCUUUGGACCUUGAGUGUGACGCGAUCGGGAGGGGUAGGCGGUCGCGCUGGGGGCGGCGCAACGCGGCUCGGGCCCGACAGUGCCCCACCGGGGUCCUAGUUAUUAUUUUUCCUCCGCUUUAAACUGGAAAAUGGCCCACUUCCCACUGGCGAAAACUCAUGAAAUUUGGCAGGACGACCGGGCCUGGUGAAAAAUUCGAUAUUCUGAAGUCACCCAAACAAUAAAAUGCAAAAUGGCUCCAUAGCGCCCCCUAAGGUGAAAAUUCACACUAUUGACUGUCACGCCUGUACGCUUUGUCAUAUUGACACAAAAAUUGACACACACAUGUAUGUCAAUAAGAUCUACAAAAAAUUCAGUGCGGGCGUAUCUGUCAAAUGUACGGUUAAAGGGUUAUUUCGCAUUUUUUGCCGAUCCGCACACAUUGGAAUUUCGCUAACUCCUCCGAAGGCUUUCGUUCCACCGGCACCACAUUUGCUCAGGCCAAUCUACACUCCAUGGCCAUUCAAAGUUGUACAAAUCAUGAUGCUGCACCCCAUGGUUUAGGUUCUAGGGGGCGCCAAAAAUAACCCAAAAAUCCACAUUCUUAAAAGUUUUAUAACUUUUUAUUUUUGUCCUCACUGGCCUCCAAGUUUUCUAGGAUGAUGCAAUGUCCAGCCAUCAACACAUUUGUGAAGGAAUUUUUACUCCCCAAAAGAGCGCCCCCCCAUGGCAGGACAAAAAAGUCAAUUUUUUCUUGUCCCCUAAGGUGAAAAUACACAUUGUUGAGAUUCACGCCUGUACGCUUUGUCAUAUUGACAAAAAAUUUGACACACACGUGUAUCUCAAUAAGAUCUACGAAAAAGUCAAUGCGCGCGUAUCUGUAAAAUGUGAGGCUAAACGGCUAUUUUGCAUUUUCUGCCGAUUCGCACACAUUGGAAUGUGGCUAACUCCUCCUAAGGCUUUCGUCCCACUGACACCAAAUUUGCUCAGGCCAAUCUACACCCCAUGGCCAUUCAAAGUUGUAAAAAUCAUGCCGCUGCACCCCAUGGUUUACGUUCUAGGGGGCGCCAAAGAUGACCCAAAUAUCCACAUUCUUAAAAGUCGUUUUGGCCACUGCAGGAGUACAGAGUACUGCAGGAUACACACACACAGACACACACACACACAGACACACACACACACUCACACACACACACACACACACACACACACACACACACACACACACAUACACACUCAGAGUCUGUUUUUCAGCACCUGCAAAAACAUGCUAUUUACAUAUUUGACAACAAUGCAGAGACUUCCUUUUGCCCCUGAAAAAAAUGAAAUUUCAAACACAACUUGACUGCUCAUUUCUCCAAAAGACAACCAUGAAGCUCCAUCCAAACCUGAAGCAGGCAGUUGGUGCAUGUGUACAGUAACCUGAGGGGAGUGAGGUGACUGCUUCUGAGGAGAACAUGAGCAGUCAAGAUUCACCUUGGAGCUAGAACAGGGACGUGCACAUGAUUAUACAGGGGCAGGGGCUCAAGUUUUUUCCAGUCGUUUAGACAAUAUGGAAAUUAAUGUGAAAUUAAAAAACAAAGUAUUAAUAGAAAGGUAAUGACUGUCCUGUGUAGGUGACAGUGAUAUCCAAUAGGCUAGGCACUCACGAGGCUGGCUGUGGCAAGUGCAAGUGAAAGCCACACGCACUGGCAGGAAGAACAGCAAACGCCGAUGAAGGAAAAGGGUUUUUGCAGUGAUGGGCGUUACCAGAGAGGACGAUGGCCAGAGGACGCGAAUGGGACGGGGAGGCAGCGCGUUGGGGGGGGGGGGGGGGGGGCGCGACACAGCUCGGGCCCGCCAGUGCCCCAACGGGGUCCUAGUUAUUAGGGCCCGAGCCAGCUGCAGAGCAGCCGGGCGUAGAGCCCUAUUAUUCCUGUAUAGGUUUUUCUUUCUUCUUUCUUUCUUUCUUUCUUCUUAUUUUUCCUCCCCUUUGAAGGGGAAAAUGGCCCACUUCCCACUGGCGAAAACUCAUGAAAUUUGGCAGGACGACCGGGCCUGGUGAAAAAUUCGAUAUUCUGAAGUCGCCCAAACAAUAAAAUGCAAAAUGGCUCCAAAGCGCCCCCUAAGGUGAAAAUUCACACUAUUGACUGUCACGCCUUUACGCUUUGUCAUAUUGACACAAAAAUUGACACACACAUGUAUCUCAAUAAGAUCUACAAAAAAGUCAGUGCGGGCGUAUCUGUCAAAUGUACGGUUAAAGGGUUAUUUCGCAUUUUUUGCCGAUCCGCACACAUUGGAAUUUCGCUAACUCCUCCGAAGGCUUUCGUUCCAACGGCACCACAUUUGCUCAGGCCAAUCUACACCCCGUGGCCAUUAAAAGUUAUCAAAAUCAUGACGCUGCACGCCACGGUUUACGUUCUAGGGGGCGCCAAAGAUAACCCUAAAAUCCACAUAUUUAAAAGUCUUAUAACUUUUUAUUUUUGUCCUCACUGGCCUCCAAGUUUUCUAGGAUGAUGCAAUGUCCAGCCAUCAACACAUUUGUGAAGGAAUUUUUACUCCCCAAAAGAGCGCCCCCCCAUGGCAGGAGAAAAAAGUCCAUUUUUUCUUGUCCCCUAAGGUGAAAAUACACAUUGUUGAGUGUCACGCCUAUACGCUUUGUCAAAAUGACACAAAAAUUGACACACACAUGUAACUCAAUAAGAUCUACGAAAAAGUCAAUGCGCGCGUAUCUGUCAAAUGUACGGUUAAAGGGUUAUUCCGCAUUUUUUGCCGAUCCGCACACAUUGGAAUGUGGCUAACUCCUCCUAAGGCUUUCGUUCCACCGGCACCACAUUUGCUCAGGACAAUCUACACCCCAUGGCCAUUAAAAGUUAUUCAAAUCAUGACGCUGCACCCCACGGUUUAGGUUCUAGGGGGCGCCAAAGAUAACCCUAAAAUCCAUAUAUUUAAAAGUCUUAUAACUUUUUAUUUUUGUCCUCACUGGCCUCCAAGUUUUCUAGGAUGAUGCAAUGUCCAGCCAUCAACACAUUUGUGAAGGAAUUUUUACUCCCCAAAAGAGCGCCCCCCCAUGGCAGGAGAAAAAAGUCCAUUUUUUCUUGUCCCCUAAGGUGAAAAUACAUAUUGUUGAGAUUCACGCCUAUACGCUUUGUCAUAUUGACACAAAAUUUGACAAUCACGUGCCUUGCCUGGUAUCACUUUUUUCAGCACAACCUCACCUGUGCGAAUUUACAGUUAUUUUUUCAUGUUGACAUACUGAAUUUACACAAUGGACCCAAAUUCACACACAAAACAUAAAAUCCGAGUGGAAAAAAGUAAAAUUUUUACUGUGAAAAUCACAAAUAUGUGUGAUGAACUGUUUUUAAAACUUAAACUUCAAAUAAAAAUUGUAAACUUCAAAACAUAUGCAAAUUUUUAACAAAGAACAUAGUGAUUUACCUCUAUUUACAUCAAAAUGCAGGCAAUGGCCCAGGCGUUCUUUGUAAAAUUAUUUACAAAACACUGUAUAGUCUCACAAAUGUCACUUUUUAUUUAUGCCACUACAAAAAAACAUGAUGUAAAUGAUGCAUGAUGUAAAACAUGAUGUAAAAAACUUGUGUAGAUCCUCCUCUAUGUCAGUCCAUGUGUAAUUUUUCCAUAAUUCUUUGUUUUUUGCAGCAUUUUUGUUAGUGUAACAGCAGAUUGUGCUGACAGUGUCUAUGGCACAAAAAAAAAAAAAAAAUUUAAAUGCCUCAACAUGAACCCCUGGUGGUCUCUGAGGGUGAAACCUGCUAACUGCUGCAGCUCUGUCAGCUUCAGUCUCCCAUGCAGAGCUCUGAGCGCAUGUGUGGCUCUGCACCCUUAGCAGCGUUGCUAACUCCUCAGUAAGGAAAGCCUGCUUCAUGUCAGAGUCUCUAAACUCCAGAAGAAGUCGAUAAAAGUCCCUUUCUUUCUAAAAAAAAAGUCGUUAGGGGGUCUGAAAAGUCAUUGAAUCUAACAACAAAGUCGCUAGGUUUGCAACUACGUGUCCCAGACUGCAUCCCUGCUGAGAGUCCCUCCCUCGCUUCUCAUGUUGCAGGAAGAACGUAAGCGCCCGCCCCUUGUCAAUCAGUCACCAUAUAAUUUUGGAUUGGUUGUUGUGGUGAAGUUUUCCACCAAUAGGAGAGAUGUUGUGGUGUGUUUUUUUUUUCUUUUGGCAAGCCUUUUCCGCCUGUAAGACCUGUCGCUAAUGUCUGCAUGCUAUGUUUUCCUGUCUCAUACAACGCGAUCGAGCGCCGAACGUGAUCAAAAUAAGCAGAAAAAAAGUAUCGCGGACAUAAUUUAUCAUAACUCUGGUUUUAUUUGGCCUAUCAACACAAUUUAAAAACUGGUAUAUAGGUUGAGGUCCUCACUUUUGAGAUAAGUUUAAACGGAGAGUUAACGAGGCUCCGUCUUGCAGCUACAUCCGGUUAAAUAUGUCAUGUGACUUGAACGCACACACAGACACACACACACGCACACACACACACACACUCAGAGUCUGGUUUUUAGCACCUGCAAAAACAUGCUAUUUACAUAUUUGACAAGAAUGCAGAGGCUCCUUUUGCCCCUGAAAAAAAUCAAAUUUCAAACACAACUUGACUGGUCAUUUCUCCAAAAGACAACCAUGAAGCUCCAUCCAAACCUGAAGCAGGCAGUUGGUGCAUGUGUACAGUAACCUGAGGGGAGUGAGGUGAGUGCUUCUGAGGAGAACAUGAGCAGUGAAGAUUCACCUUGGAGCUAGAACAGAGACAUGCACAUGAUUAUACAGGGGCAGGGGCUCAAGUUUUUUCCAGUCGUUUAUACAAUAUGGAAAUUAAUGUGAAAUUAAAACACAAAGUAUCAAUAGAAAGGUAAUGACUGUCCUGUGUAGGUGACAGUGAUAUCCAAUAGGCGAAGCACUCACGAGGCUGGCUGUGGCAAGUGUAAGUGAAAGCAACACGCACUGGCAGGAAGAACAGCAAACGCCAAUGAAGGAAAAGGGUCUUUGCAGUGAUGGGCGUUACCAGAGAGGGCGAUGGCCAGAGGACACAAAUGGGACGGGGAGGCAGCACGUUGGGGGGGGGACGCGACACGGCUCGGGCCCGCCAGUGCCCCAACGGGGUCCUAGUUAGGGCCCGAGCCAGCUGCAGAGCAGCCGGGCGUAGGCCCUAUUAUUCCCCAAGUGGUUUUUCUUUGUUUCUUUCUUUCUUUCUUUCUUUCUUCUUUUUCCUCCCCUUUGAACUGGAAAAUGGCCCACUUCCCACUGGCGAAAACUCAUGAAAUUUGGCAGGACGACCGGGCCUGGUGAAAAAUUUGAUAUUCUGAAGUCGCCCAAACAAUAAAAUGCAAAAUGGCUCCAUAGCGCCCCCUAAGGUGAAAAUUCACACUAUUGACUGUCACGCCUGUACGCUUUGUCAUAUUGACACAAAAAUUGACACACAUAUGUAUCUCAAUAAGAUCUACAAAAAAGUCAGUGCGGCUGUAUCUGUCAAAUGUACGGUUAAAG